UUGAACGCUGGCGGCAUGCCUUACACAUGCCAGUCGAACGGCAGCACGGGUGCUUGCACCUGGUGGCGCGUGGCGAACGGGUGAGUAAUACAUCGGAACAUGUCCUGUAGUGGGGGAUAGCCCGGCGAAAGCCGGAUUAAUACCGCAUACGAUCUACGGAUGAAAGCGGGGGACCUUCGGGCCUCGCGCUAUAGGGUUGGCCGAUGGCUGAUUAGCUAGUUGGUGGGGUAAAGGCCUACCAAGGCGACGAUCAGUAGCUGGUCUGAGAGGACGACCAGCCACACUGGGACUGAGACACGGCCCAGACUCCUACGGGAGGCAGCAGUGGGGAAUUUUGGACAAUGGGCGAAAGCCUGAUCCAGCAAUGCCGCGUGUGUGAAGAAGGCCUUCGGGUUGUAAAGCACUUUUGUCCGGAAAGAAAUCCUUGGCCCUAAUACGGUCGGGGGAUGACGGUACCGGAAGAAUAAGCACCGGCUAACUACGUG
rnacentral:rRNA from 1 species